rnacentral:lncRNA from 1 species
GUCACAAAAGACUUCCUAGUCACCUCCCCUCUUUUUAUAUUACUCCCUCCCAUGUUUUUCUUUAGAUUUUAAAACUAGAUAAAAUCAGGCCUUCCGUUAGAUUACCUGAAUUCUUUCAGGUGACGAGAAUCUCUGAGGCUUAAUUCAUUUAAAUAAACUUCAUUUUCCUACUGCCUUUGGCCAGGUGCCUUCGGAGGCCUGUUUGACAGAAUAGUUUCCGCUCCUGGGGGAGAGUGACCUGUUGUCAUCAAAGUGACCUACCACGAGAUAGAAGAAAUGUCUGAGAGGCUAGUUCUGCCUUUGGACACUUGGUGGCGCUCUAGCUUUAUGAAUGGCUCAAGCCGCUUCUGUUUGCUCCUGGGAAGUCUCCUUCCCUUUCCGCAGCUCGGUGGUGUGGUUUCAGAAUCAGAGGCAUUGUGUUCUGCGGAAGGUCAUAUGGAAAGUUCGAUGGCUGAUUGGAUUAGAAUAUGUACACUUCUCAAGACUGAAAGACCUACUCCUCUACCAGCCAGAGUUGUCUUCUCCUCAAGAUUCCAAUCUCCUGGGGCCCAUUCCUCUGUCGAAGUGAUCAGUUUCACACACUCUUCAGCCCAGCACUUUUUCUUUAGUGCCAGCUUCUGUCACACAGGAUAACCCUGAGUUUCAAAACUAAUGGUGUAUAUAAAUAAUGGGAUGCUAAACAGACAACAUAAGAGACUUAUUGCAGAACCAGAGAUCAUCCGGUUCUAUUUAUAUAACUGGCAUCAACAAAAAAGGUAAGGGGAUGAAUUUCAACUUUGAUGCUUUCAAUAUAUCCAUGAUCUUACUAAUGGUUCUUCCACUAACAAUAUAGGUCACAGUCCCUUAUGAAUGAGUAUCUUGGAAAUUUUCUACAGAAGCUCAAAUAGUCCAUAUGAUAUAUGGAAGACAUACA